ensembl:lncRNA
AUAUUUGCUUUUAAUGACACUUCAGGUUCAAUCAGAAUAUGAUAAAGAUUGAGAGCGCAGGGGGGUUUCUGUUUGUGAUUCAGUCUGUUAUACUGAACCAAACACUCAGUGCUGACUGUGAGCAGAGCUGGUAUUCACAGGUGAGUGUGUUUCUGUCCUCAUACACACACACACACACACACACACACACACACACACACUGGUAAUCACAGGUGAGUCUGUUUCUGUCCUCACACACACACACACACACACGCAGUACAAACUGUAUUUUCUAUCCUCUUAUCUUAACUCUACACCUCACAGAAAACCUUCUGCAUUUUUAGAUUUAAGCUUGUUUCCUCACGGGAAACAAAAAAAAUGUCCCCACAAGGCCAGCAUUUCCUGGUAUUACUACACCUACAUUUGGUCUAGUACAGGUAUGCCACACAUGACUCGAUACUCUUUUGUUUAAUUGGAGCAGGACAGGCGUCUGAUCGCAGAUCCAUCAAAACCACACAAAGUGAUUGAUCCUGCGACGUCUGUAUCAUCUGAUCAUCUCUUCACUUCUUACUGUGUGAAUCUGAAUCAUGAGAUCAUCUGUGAUUCUGCUGAUGGAGUAAAUCAACUCAAUCUCUCUCUCAGCAUUCAUCAGUUUAAUAUUAAUUAACUGUAUUUAAAUGAUGUUUAAUGCUUCUCUCUUUCAUGUCAGUCUCAUUUCAGUCGUGAGACCGUGUUCAGAGGUGAGAGAAACCGUGUGUGUCCUGAUUGAGAUCAAACUCUGUGUUGAACUGAAUCUUGUGUGAAUCUUCAAGUUAAUCAUGAUGAUUGUGAAUCUGUUUUUCAGUGAGGAAUGAAACUCCAGUGACUCCAGACUCAGGUGAGUUUCAGCUGAUAAACGUCUGAUUAUUCACUAAUAAAACACUGCAGAUCUGAUUCA